AUGCCCACCCAUCACUUGGUCUCGUACCAUGAGCUUGUUCGAGCAACUGAUAAUUUUAGUGAGAGCAACCUGCUAGGGUCUGGAUGUUUUGGAAAAGUUUUCAAGGGCCAGCUAAGCAAUGGUUUGAUUGUUGCAAUCAAAGUUCUAGACAUGCAGUUAGAACAAGUGAUGAGAAGCUUUGAUAUAGAGUGUGGUGUACUACGGAUGGCACGACACGGCAAUCUAAUGAGGAUACUCAAUACCUGUUCCAACUUGGAAUUCAGGGCAUUGGUGCUUCAAUACAUGCCCAAUGGCAGCUUAGAAAUGCUGCUACACAACUCUCAAGGUACAACCGAAUUGGGAUUCAGUGAGAGACUAGGCAUCAUGCUCGAUGUGUCAUUGGCAAUGGAGUAUCUGCACCAUGAACACUAUGAGGUGGUCUUGCACUGCGACUUGAAGCCUAGCAAUGUAUUGUUCGAUGAGGACAUGACAGCACAUGUGGCAGACUUUGGCAUUGCAAGGUUGUUACUAGGUGAUGAUAGCUCUACGAUCACUGCGAGCAUGCCUGGAACUGUUGGCUACAUGGCACCAGGUACUAUUACUAUCUAG
rnacentral:rRNA from 1 species